UACGUAGGGGGCAAGCGUUGUCCGGAAUCAUUGGGCGUAAAGCGCGCGUAGGCGGCCCGGUAAGUCCGUUGUAAAAGUCAAAGGCUCAACCUUUGAAAGCCGAUGGAUACUGCCGGGCUAGAAUCCGGAAGAGGCGAGUGGAAUUCCUGGUGUAGCGGUGAAAUGCGCAGAUAUCAGGAGGAACACCGGUGGCGAAGGCGGGUCUCUGGGCCGAUACUGACGCUGAGGAGCGAAAGCGUGGGGAGCGAACAGG
rnacentral:rRNA from 1 species